rnacentral:lncRNA from 1 species
AACAAUUGAAAAUACAGAGACACCUUCACACAACGUGAAGAAAGGUUACACCAACGUAUAUGCAUGUAUGAAAUUCUCAAAAACUGUUGUGUUCCGUAAGAGUCUGGUGGUUUGGCUGAGAAAUGCUUCCAUAGCUGUGGGCAUUUUAACAUCUGGUCACCCCAUGGGGUAACACUGUAAAGCUUUGUCCUGCUUCUAGAGUUCUCUCUGCUUCGUUGUUUUCAAGUUGAGGAUGUGUGUGUUUGUGUCCUGUUCUGACUUCCUUGCCUGCUGCUUGCUACCAUGCUUUCUUGUUGUGAUGAACUCUUACUGUCUGGAACCUUAAGCCAAAUAAACUCUUCCUUCUGCCUUGAUCACGGUGUUUUAUCACAGCAACAGAAAAGUGACUAAUACAGAAGUUGAUACUACAGUGAGGAACCUGGCCAUGGGUUUUUGUUUUUAUGGAAUAUGGAAGACUUUGGAAUUUUGAAUUGGAAAAGCAGUUGAAUGUAAUCAGGUCUUAAAGGGCUACCCUACUAAAAACUUGGAGCAUUUGAACUAUGGAGGUCUACUAGCUUAAGUGGUCUCAGAGAGGAAAGAUAUUAGCACCCAGGUUAGAGGCUGUUUCUACAAUAUUUUGGCAAAGAAUCUGGCAGCCUUCUACCCUUACCCUAAGAACUUGCCUAAGGCUAAAACUAAAAGUAGUGGGCUGAUUUCUUUGGCAGAGGGAAUUUGAAGGCAGUGUGAUAUUGAAUGGCUUUAUGCAGAUCUUCAGUGAAAAGAGCAACUGGGGCAGAAAGUAGCACAAACCGCUCAGUUUAAGGAGGAGUACCACUGAACUUUGUUGUUGCCAAGACUUGUGCGGAGGGAGAUGAGAUUAAGAUCAGGUUGUGAAGAUUCCUGUGCAUUGGAAUAAAGGGAGGGGUCCCCUCAGGGCGAUACUCUGUAUGCUAGCCCGUUCCCACCUCCUCAAGCUUUCAACUUGUGAAAGCGAUGAGGCUGCUGCUAGUGUGGCUCAAGGGGCUAGUCUCCAUCCCACGCUGGCAGCAGAACCUGGCAGUGUUGGCCCUGGACUGCUGGCACUGGAGACAUGAAGGAUGCAAGAAUGGAAGCGUUGUGGGGUUUCCUCCAUGGUUCCAGAGAGCAGCUGAGGUUAGGUAGUGUCUGGUGAGAGGCCCUGAGAGGCCAUUGGUUUUAAGCUGUGAAAGCAAGGUCUGGCUUAGAAGAACCCACGGUCUUGAAGAGAUCAGAGUCAAAAGAUUUCUGCCAAGAGCUGUAUACAGAAAGUGGAAGCAGCCAAAGGGAAGAUGGAACCGUAUUUGUUUUUUGACCGAGAACAUAGAGCUACAGGAUUUGAUAUUUAUCCUGCUGGGUUCUGGUUGCUUUGGUCCUGUAGUUCCUCAUUAUUUUCCACUUUUUCCUUUUGGAAUGGUCAUGUAUAUUCUGCGCCAUAGUUGGAAGUAUGUAAGUUGCUUUUUUAUUUUAUUGAAGGUUACAAUUAAGAGCCUGCCUUGAGCUUUCCUAAUAGUGCAACUCUUUAAUACAGUCCCUCAUGUUGUGGUGACCCCUACCAUAAAAUUAUUUUUGUUGCUACUUCAUAAUGUAGUUUUGCUACUGUUAGGAAUCGUAAUGUAAAUAUUUGACGUGUGGCAACCCCUGUGAAAGGGUUCUUUGGCCCCACCCCAGCUCCAAAGGGGUUGCAACCCACAGAUUGAAAACCUCUGCCCUUGAAUCUCAGAAGAGACUUUAGACUUUGGGCUUUUAAACAGUGUUAAGACUGUGUUAGUCAGAGUUCUCUUAAGGAACAGAACUGAUAAAAUGAAAAAAUGAAUAUAUGUAUAUAUACAUAUAAAGGAGAUUUGUUAGAGUGGCUUACAGGCUGUGGUCUGGCUAGUUCAUGAAUGGCGGAAUCCUGGUAGAAAGACCAAGAAUUCAGUCCAGGAGACUGUAUGUCUUAGCACAUGUGCAAGGGCCUUAGGGAAUUCCUAGGAAGUUGCUGGUUUUUAUUCUGUGGUGGAAUCUCCAAGAGGUGGGUUCUACACCAGCAAAGGAAUGCCUCAGACCAUGAAAGAUGAAUUUGUCAGGUAGAGUAAGCGCAAGCAGGCAUAUGCUUUUCUGUGGUCCCGACUUAGAGUGGAUCCAGGAAAGAAAACCCCCUCCCUCAUAGGCAUGCCCCAACUGCCUGGGUUUUAGCUGAUUCCAGACAUAGUCAAGUUGAAAACCAACAUAAGGAUCACAGACUAUAAAAGAUUAUAAAGGUCUUUUGAAGUUGGGCUAAAUGCAUUUUGGGUUAUGAUUUGGCCAUGCAACUGUUGGAGCCAGGGAAGGGAAUGUGGUGAUUAAAGUGAGAAAUGUCCCUCCUAGUCUUGAAUUGGAGCAGUCAGUGUCCAGUGUGGUGCUGUGUGGGCGCACAUUGCUAGAAGUGUGUACUUGGAUUUGGGCUGUGAGAGCUCAAGGCCUCGGCCUACUUUUGGUUUGUCCUCUCUCUCGUGCUUGUGGUUGAGGAGUGAGCUGAAGUUUUUUUCUCUGGCUGCUUGCAUGUAGCCUUCUAACGCGCUUUCCUACCUCAGGGACCAUAAACCCAAAUAAAUGCUUCCUUCUCUAAGUUGCCUUGGUCAAGGUAUUUAUCCUGGCAAUAGAAAGAUAAUAAUACACAGUUUUUCAGGGAUAUGCCUAGAAGUGAUGUAGCUGGGUUAUUUGGUGGUGCUGGUUUUAGCUUCUUGAGAAACCUCCUAUUAAUUUCCAUAGUGGCUAUACAAGUUUACAUUCCCAUUAGCAGUAUGUAAGGGUUCCUCUCAACCCACACAUCCUUGCUAUAAUUGGUCGUUAGUUCCCGCCUUCUCUCUUUUAGGGUGAUAGUUUUUCUGACUAGGGUAAAAUGGAAUCUCAAAGUAGUUUUAAUUUGGCUGAGGAUGUUGAACACUUUCAAAUAUUUAUUGGUUGUUUGUGUUUUUUCUCUAGAGAGCUAUCCAUUCAUUUGAUAUAGCUCAUUUAUUGAUUGGAAAAUCUGGAAUUUUUAGUAUUUAAUUGUUACAGUUCUUUAUAUAUUCUAGAUAUUAGAUCCCUGUCCAAUGGGUAGCUGGCAAAGACUUUCUUCAUACUGCAGAGCGAUUGCUUUGCUUUGCAGAAUUUUUUUUUUUUUUGACUUGUAACUGCAUUUGACAACUCUUUGGCUUCCUUUCUGUGCUAUUGGAGAUCUUUUCAGAAAGCCCUCACAUGUAGCAGUGUCUUGAAGUUUUUAGCUAUGUCAUUAAGGCUUUUGGUCUAUUGGAAUUAUUUUUUUGUGCAGGGUGACAGAUAUAUGGACCUAACUUCAUCCUAGCUUUAAUUCUGUGCUUAACUCAUUUAACUCUGUUCUCCUGGCUUGACUUCAUCUUGCCUACCCACCCACUCCUCCUUUAAAAAAC